GACAGAGGGUGCAAACGUUGCUCGGAAUCACUGGGCGUAAAGGGCGUGUAGGCGGGCAGGCAAGUCAGAUGUGAAAUCCCCAGGCUCAACCUGGGAACUGCAUUUGAAACUCCCUUUCUUGAGUACCGGAGAGGAAAGUGGAAUUCCUGGUGUAGCGGUGAAAUGCGUAGAUAUUAGGAGGAACACCAGUGGCGAAGGCGGCCUACUGGGCUUUAACUGACGCUGAGGCUCGAAAGCGUGGGGAGCAAACAGG
rnacentral:rRNA from 1 species